rnacentral:rRNA from 1 species
GACGAACGCUGGCGGCGUGCUUAACACAUGCAAGUCGAACGGUGAAGCGCCUUCCUUUUUGGUGGGUGUGGAUGAGUGGCGAACGGGUGAGUAACACGUGAGUAACCUGCCCCCUUCUUCUGGAUAACCGCAUGAAAGUGUGGCUAAUACGGGAUAUUCUGGGUCUGUCGCAUGAUGGGUCUGGGAAAGAUAUUGUUUCGGUGGGGGAUGGGCUCGCGGCCUAUCAGCUUGUUGGUGUGGUGAUGGCCUACCAAGGCGGUGACGGGUAGCCGGCCUGAGAGGGUGGACGGUCACACUGGGACUGAGACACGGCCCAGACUCCUACGGGAGGCAGCAGUGGGGAAUAUUGCACAAUGGGCGCAAGCCUGAUGCAGCGACGCCGCGUGAGGGAUGGAGGCCUUCGGGUUGUGAACCUCUUUCGCCAGUGAAGCAGGCCUGCCUCGUUUGUGGGUGGGUUGACGGUAGCUGGAUAAGAAGCGCCGGCUAACUGCGUG